CGCCGUCGACCGAGGGCCAUCUUGAUGCUGGGUCGACGUCUUUUGUGAGAGAUUCGUGGCAAUGCCACUUUUCUUGAUGCUGGGUAGAAAUGGAAGGUUCGUCAAAGCGGUCGAGAUUUAUUGGUUGAUGACUGAAUCAAGAGGGCCUUCUGGUAGGUUCUUGCUGCUGGGCAUGCAUUGAAGAUGCUGUCAAAAAAUGUGCUCGGCGACAUUACAGAUGUAAUCAUUGGUGUUUCGUUCCCAAAUGCAUGGCGAGCCACUAAACCAGACGGACAGCGAGCGAUGUACCCGGUACCCGACUCAUUCAAUGUAUAUGCCAGCUACAUAGGCAGCCAAGAGAUGGUUCGGGAUAGUUACGCUCCUGCGAAGGACUGACUAAGAACUGGAACAACUUGAGCUGAAGGAGAGCAGAUCAAGUCAUGACCGGAUGCCUCGUCCUAUUGGAUGGUCACUUGUACCCGAUAGGCUGUGGAAACAAUAUUUACCCGGUCGCCAUGUCCCUCGAAUCAGUCGACCAACCCGUUUCAAGCGAACUGGUUUUGAAGGCGCAAAUGGCUAGCUUUUGUUUAGGUUAUUUCCACGCAUAGUGAGGUCUCUCUUGAGUUUCUUUAAGCAGGCAGAACACUGGUAUUUUGUUGGGGAUUUGCUGAAACAGGUUGUGCAAAUGGCUUGGUAUUGCACUAUUGGGAGACACUCACUCUGUACAAGUUACGAAUUCAAGUUGUGGUGGAGUAUUUGGCUCCUCAUUUACCAAAUUGUAAAUUUCUUUUUUGAGAUAGUGGAUUCAAACUCCUGGCGAGGCUCGGGGAGUGGAUGUAGGCACUGAAUUUGGGCCGAACCACUAUAAGUCGACCAGGCAAAUUCUCUUUCCUUGC